GAUGAACGCUAGCUACAGGCUUAACACAUGCAAGUCGAGGGGAAACGACAUUGAAGCUUGCUUCGAUGGGCGUCGACCGGCGCACGGGUGAGUAACGCGUAUCCAACCUGCCUCUGACUAAGGGAUAACCCGGCGAAAGUCGGACUAAUACCUUAUGAGGUUUUCAGCAGACAUCUAAUGAAAACGAAAGAUUUAUCGGUCAGUGAUGGGGAUGCGUCUGAUUAGCUUGUUGGCGGGGUAACGGCCCACCAAGGCAACGAUCAGUAGGGGUUCUGAGAGGAAGGUCCCCCACAUUGGAACUGAGACACGGUCCAAACUCCUACGGGAGGCAGCAGUGAGGAAUAUUGGUCAAUGGGCGAGAGCCUGAACCAGCCAAGUAGCGUGCAGGAUGACGGCCCUAUGGGUUGUAAACUGCUUUUAUGUGGGGAUAAAGUGAGCUACGUGUAGUUUAUUGCAGGUACC
rnacentral:rRNA from 1 species